rnacentral:rRNA from 1 species
GAUGAACGCUAGCGGCAGGCCUAAUACAUGCAAGUCGAGGGAUAGUAUCGUAGCAAUAUGAUAUGAAACCGGCGCACGGGUGCGUAACACGUAUGCAACCUACCUUUCACUGGGGAAUAGCUCCGAGAAAUCGGAAUUAAUACCCCAUAACAUUACGACCUGGCAUCAGGAUGUAAUUAAAGCUCCGGCGGUGAUUGAUGGGCAUGCGUUGCAUUAGCUAGUUGGUGAGGUAAA